UUAAGUGAAUAAGGGCGCACGGUGGAUGCCUUGGCACUAGGAGCCGAUGAAGGACGGGACUAACACCGAUAUGCUUUGGGGAGCUGUACGUAAGCUAUGAUCCAGAGAUUUCCGAAUGGGGGAACCCAACAUCUUUAAUAGGAUGUUACGAUUGUGUGAAUACAUAGCACAUUCGAGGUAGACGCAGAGAACUGAAACAUCUAAGUACCUGCAGGAAGAGAAAGAAAAUUCGAUUCCCUGAGUAGCGGCGAGCGAAACGGGAAAAGCCCAAACCAGCAAGCUUGCUUGUUGGGGUUGUAGGACUCCAAUAUGGUAGUUCUUUCAGAUAGUCGAAUGACUUGGAAAAGUCAGUCAAAGAGGGUAAAAACCCCGUAGACGAAAUGUGGAAGACACCUAGGAGGAUCCUGAGUACGGCGGAACACGAGAAAUUCCGUCGGAAUCCGGGAGGACCAUCUCCCAAGGCUAAAUACUCCCUAGUGACCGAUAGUGAACCAGUACCGUGAGGGAAAGGUGAAAAGCACCCCGGAAGGGGAGUGAAAUAGAACCUGAAACCGUGUGCCUACAACAAGUCAAAGCCCGUUAAUGGGUGAUGGCGUGCCUUUUGUAGAAUGAACCGGCGAGUUACGAUUGCAUGCGAGGUUAAGUUGAAGAGACGGAGCCGCAGCGAAAGCGAGUCUGAAUAGGGCGUUUGAGUAUGUAGUCGUAGACCCGAAACCAUGUGAUCUACCCAUGUCCAGGUUGAAGGUGCGGUAAAACGCACUGGAGGACCGAACCCACGUACGUUGAAAAGUGCGGGGAUGAGGUGUGGGUAGCGGAGAAAUUCCAAACGAACUUGGAGAUAGCUGGUUCUCUCCGAAAUAGCUUUAGGGCUAGCCUCGGAAUUGAGAAUGAUGGAGGUAGAGCACUGUUUGGACUAGGGGCCCAUCUCGGGUUACCGAAUUCAGAUAAACUCCGAAUGCCAUUCAUUCAUAUCCGGGAGUCAGACUGUGAGUGAUAAGAUCCAUAGUCGAAAGGGAAACAGCCCAGACCACCAGCUAAGGUCCCAAAAUAUAUGUUAAGUGGAAAAGGAUGUGGGGUUGCACAGACAACUAGGAUGUUGGCUUAGAAGCAGCCACCAUUUAAAGAGUGCGUAAUAGCUCACUAGUCGAGUGACCCUGCGCCGAAAAUGUACCGGGGCUAAACAUAUUACCGAAGCUGUGGAGUACACCUUUAGGUGUAUUGGUAGGAGAGCGUUCUAAGGGCGUUGAAGGCAGAUCGUGAGGACUGCUGGAGCGCUUAGAAGUGAGAAUGCCGGUAUGAGUAGCGAAAGACAGGUGAGAAUCCUGUCCACCGAAUGACUAAGGUUUCCUGGGGAAGGCUCGUCCGCCCAGGGUUAGUCGGGACCUAAGCCGAGGCCGACAGGCGUAGGCGAUGGAUAACAGGUUGAUAUUCCUGUACCCGUUGUUUUUGUUUGAGCAAUGGAGGGACGCAGGAGGCUAAGGAAUGCAGACGAUCGGAAAUGUCUGUCCAAGCAGUAAGUCUGAAGAGGAGUCAAAUGCUUCUUUUCUUAAGGACAAGCUGUGAUGGGGAGGGAAAUAAUAGUACCGAAGUUCCUGAUGUCACACUGCCGAGAAAAGCUUCUAGUGAGAAAACAGCGGCCCGUACCGCAAACCGACACAGGUAGUCGAGGAGAGAAUCCUAAGGUGAGCGAGAGAACUCUCGUUAAGGAACUCGGCAAAAUGACCCCGUAACUUCGGGAGAAGGGGUGCUGAUCAUACGAUCAGCCGCAGUGAAUAGGCCCAAGCGACUGUUUAUCAAAAACACAGGUCUCUGCAAAAUCGUAAGAUGAAGUAUAGGGGCUGACGCCUGCCCGGUGCUGGAAGGUUAAGAGGAGUGCUUAGCGCAAGCGAAGGUACGAAUUGAAGCCCCAGUAAACGGCGGCCGUAACUAUAACGGUCCUAAGGUAGCGAAAUUCCUUGUCGGGUAAGUUCCGACCCGCACGAAAGGCGUAACGAUUUGGGCACUGUCUCAACGAGAGACUCGGUGAAAUUUAGUACCUGUGAAGAUGCAGGUUCCCGCGACAGGACGGAAAGACCCCAUGGAGCUUUACUGUAGUUUGAUAUUGAGUGUCUGUACCGCAUGUACAGGAUAGGUAGGAGCCGUAGAAAUCGGAACGCUAGUUUCGAUGGAGGCGCUGGUGGGAUACUACCCCUGCGUUAUGGCCACUCUAACCCGCACCACUAAUCGUGGUGGGAGACAGUGUCAGAUGGGCAGUUUGACUGGGGCGGUCGCCUCCUAAAAGGUAACGGAGGCGCCCAAAGGUUCCCUCAGAAUGGUUGGAAAUCAUUCGAAGAGUGUAAAGGCAGAAGGGAGCUGACUGCGAGACCAACAAGUCGAGCAGGGACGAAAGUCGGGCUUAGUGAUCCGGUGGUUCCGCAUGGAAGGGCCAUCGCUCAACGGAUAAAAGCUACCCUGGGGAUAACAGGCUUAUCUCCCCCAAGAGUCCACAUCGACGGGGAGGUUUGGCACCUCGAUGUCGGCUCGUCGCAUCCUGGGGCUGUAGUCGGUCCCAAGGGUUGGGCUGUUCGCCCAUUAAAGCGGCACGCGAGCUGGUUCAGAACGUCGUGAGACAGUUCGGUCCCUAUCCGUCGCGGGCGUUGGAAAUUUGAGAGGAGCUGUCCUUAGUACGAGAGGACCGGGAUGGACUUACCGCUGGUGUACCAGUUGUUCUGCCAAGGGCAUUGCUGGGUAGCUAUGUAGGGAAGGGAUAAACGCUGAAAGCAUCUAAGUGUGAAGCCCACCUCAAGAUGAGAUUUCCCAUUUCUUUAAGAAAGUAAGAUCCCUGAGAGAUGAUCAGGUAGAUAGGUCAGGAGUGGAAGUACAGUGAUGUAUGGAGCGGACUGAUACUAAUCGAUCGAGGACUUAACCAA
rnacentral:rRNA from 1 species